rnacentral:rRNA from 1 species
CUCCCUACGGGAGGCUGCAGUGAGGAAUCUUGCGCAAUGGGGGCAACCCUGACGCAGCAACGCCGCGUGGGUGAAGAAGGCCUUCGGGUCGUAAAGCUCUGUCAAGUGGGAAGAAUAGCCUUAAGGGGAAUAUCCUUGGGGUAUGACGGUACCACUGGAGGAAGCACCGGCUAACUCCGUGCCAGCAGCCGCGGUAAUACGGAGGGUGCAAGCGUUAUUCGGAAUUAUUGGGCGUAAAGGGCGUGUAGGCGGCCAGAUAAGUCAGAGGUGAAAGCCCGGGGCUCAACCCCGGAAGUGCCUUUGAAACUGUUUGGCUUGAGUGCGGGAGAGGAAAGCGGAAUUCCCAGUGUAGAGGUGAAAUUCGUAGAUAUUGGGAGGAACAUCGGUGGCGAAGGCGGCUUUCUGGACCGACACUGACGCUGAGGCGCGAAAGCGUGGGGAGCAAACAGGAUUAGAUACCCCAGUAGUC